rnacentral:miRNA from 2 species
GGCGGCGGCGGAGGCGGGGG